rnacentral:lncRNA from 1 species
GGAGGGAGACUCAAGAAGUCAACAUUGAUUUGCUUGGUCUUCUUCUUGGAGCGGCAUCAUCUCUUCUUCCUCCUUUGUUUUCUUUUUUUUUCUUAUCCGAAACCAUAGGGCUAGAGGGGAAAUAACGGCGAGUGAGAGAGAGGGCAUUAAACACCCAAAGAGAAACAUAACUAGGGAUUAAGGCUCGGUUUCAAGGUGAGCAAUGGAAAAACGCCAUAACCUAC